UCGAAGCUCAUAUGACUAAAAUAAUUGCCCUCACCCAGGCAUGCCAACUUGUGCAAGUGAAGUAUGUAGUUAUGCUGGUAGUAAAGGGGCUUUUGUCCACAAAUUCAGAGUGCUUAGAGAACCCCAAGGGAGGAGCUCAGUGGGUGGAGUCUCCAGGGAUUUGCCUUGGAGGCUGUUGGGAGAGCAGGAGUGAGCGCCGUGAUUGGCUGGGACCUUGAUGUCACAAAGGUCAGGGACAGCUGCCAGAGAAUAAAGCAGAGGGCUGUGGGGUGAAGGGACUGCCAGUCUUCCGCCACUCCUUUUCAGGGUCCUUCCCUUCACUGCCUUCCUUCUCCCAGACACACUGGGCAUCCAGUUCCAACCCAAAGGCUGCCCCUUUGACCAGGCCCAUCUUCUCCACCUCACAUCAAACAGCCAAUCGGCUGCUCAGACCUUGAAACCUCAGUAACCUAGAAGGAAAUGGACUUUGACAAACGUGUGUCAGGAGAGGAUGACUUGGAGGUGUCCACCGUGUUUCUUACUGAAGAUGUCUACAAGUCAAUUGGGUCAAGGAACAAGCCUCUACUCACAUGCACGUGGGCAAAUGAAGUCACAGAACAAAUAACCUACCCUGCAUCCAGGCACUGAGUCCAGGGACACCCCCUGCUGCUGCCUUACCUAAGAGAAAGCGGCCCAAGAAGCAUUGACCCGGUGCCUGCUGAAGCCAGGAGCCCUCUGCCACUGCCUGACACAAGCAUCCUGCGCUCCCCCCUCCCAGACCCUCCCCGAAAGUGUGGGCCACAGGUACCACUCCCUGUGCCACUGAGCCCCACAUUUCCCAUCCCCCAAGCCACCCCCGCCCAGCCCCAGAGCUUUCCUACAUUUAUGAUUUGUCCAAAAAGGUGAUGUCCUUCAGCCCCCAGAAGGUCAUCCUCCAGUCUGUGACCAUCACACUGGGGUCCUGCAUGGGGUCCUCACAGGCCUUCAGCCCAGCACAAAUCAUGGCCUGGUUUGACCUUUGAAAUAUCUCAACAUCUAAAAUUCAGAGCUUUUUUGGAAUAUUUAUUUUCCAUAGAUAUAAUUCUUUCAAAUAAAUUCCUUAGAAAACAA